rnacentral:ribozyme from 1 species
CGAACCUCAAACAACAAUAGACCGAUGAGGGACAGAGAAGCGGAAGAAGACAUCUUUCCGGACGCACACGGACAAAUUUUUCAACAGCUUCAAAACAAAUUCAGUGAUCCGUCUGUGUCUUUUGAGGAGUAUCGAAUUCACUGCAACGAAUGGCUUUGGAAAUUGACCAA